rnacentral:rRNA from 1 species
AGAGUUUGAUCAUGGCUCAGAUUGAACGCUGGCGGCAGGCCUAACACAUGCAAGUCGAGCGGCAGCACAAGGGAGUUUACUCCUGAGGUGGCGAGCGGCGGACGGGUGAGUAAUGCCUAGGGAUCUGCCCAGUCGAGGGGGAUAACAGUUGGAAACGACUGCUAAUACCGCAUACGCCCUACGGGGGAAAGAGGGGGACUUUCGGGCCUCUCGCGAUUGGAUGAACCUAGGUGGGAUUAGCUAGUUGGUGAGGUAAUGGCUCACCAAGGCGACGAUCCCUAGCUGUUCUGAGAGGAUGAUCAGCCACACUGGGACUGAGACACGGCCCAGACUCCUACGGGAGGCAGCAGUGGGGAAUAUUGCACAAUGGGGGAAACCCUGAUGCAGCCAUGCCGCGUGUGUGAAGAAGGCCUUCGGGUUGUAAAGCACUUUCAGUAGGGAGGAAAGGUUGUAAGUUAAUACCUUGCAGCUGUGACGUUACCUACAGAAGAAGGACCGGCUAACUCCGUGCCAGCAGCCGCGGUAAUACGGAGGGCCCAAGCGUUAAUCGGAAUUACUGGGCGUAAAGCGUGCGCAGGCGG